UCCUGUAUCGAAAGUGUCGUCGGCGUGCUGUCGCCUUCGCCAUUGAUAGUGCAGGAAGAGGAAGUUGCGAGCCUUUCCCGUGUCCGCCGGACCUCCGCUUCCGGUCGGACCCUGGCGCUCGCGCACA